CACCGCGGUUAUACGAGUAACACAUAUUAAUACUUCACGGCGUAAAGGGUGAUUAAAAAUAAUCUUACUUUACUAAAGUAAAGACCUCAUCAAGCUGUCAUACGCACUUAUGAAUGGAAAACCCAACCAACGAAAGUAACUUUACAAAAACAGAAUUUUUGACCUCACGAUAGUUAAGACC
rnacentral:rRNA from 1 species